GACGAAUCGAGCUCCCUUUCCCACUUGUUCCAUCCUUCUCCGCGGACUACGAGAGUUGAAACCGGCACGUUGUUCUCGUAGACGACAUACAUGUAUCCGUCUUUGCGGCCGUUUUUGUCGAUUGGAGCAUGCUGGCGCGGUUCUUGUCGCGUGUUGGCGUUUUUAGCCGCUGGAGCUUUGGGUGUGUUCAUCUUGCUGAGAAUGGCGUUAGUAUCUUCUUCCAUUCGGAUGAAAUUGUCAGAUCGCGCGAUAGCGUCCUGGAGCGACGUAGUUGGGUUUUGGUAUAAAUCCUCUCGGAACUUAGAACGAACCCACAACGUGUUCCGCAGGGUGUCAAUGGCAAUACCGUCUGGAAUUUCAAUCCUCGAGACUACAGCUUUGAACUUCUCCAUGUAGUCGCGGAGGCUCUGGUCUUUGGUUUGGUUGAGGUUCCACAAGCUAGAGGCGGUAGCACUGCGCUUGGUGAACAUAAUGUAAGUCUUGAGAAAAGCUGCUGACAAGUCGCGGAAGCUUCCGAUGGACUUUUCUUCUAACUGGGAAAACCAGGUUAGGGCUUGCUCGUGGAGAAUUUCGAUGAACAGUUGGCAGUAGCUAGCGUCCCUUUCUUCGUCGGGGAGUCAAGCCCGUGCCAUCGCGAUGUUGAAAGCUGUCAUGUGUUCCACUGGGUCUCCGCCGGGUUUGUACUCGGGUAGGCGCAGCUUCUCUAUCUUUCCGAGUUGCACACUAGUCAGAGCGCUAGUAAAAGGAGUGCGUGAUGUUGCGGCGAGGACACUCUCGAUUUGCGGGGCCGCGCUAGUUACUUGAUGGAUCUUCUCGCUCAUUUGUUGGAAGCUGAGUUUGAGCUCAGCGAGCUCGCGUAUGGUUGCGAGAUCAGAACCUACUGGGGGUGGGCGGCGAGAAGGGUUUCAUUAGGCUCCGAGUCGUCUGAGAUUUGGUCGCCUCCGGUCGCCGUUGGGUUGGUGUUAAAGAGGCGACGGCGUAUCUGCUGGGGACGGCUUGUUUGGUCAUCGGAAGCUGUGAGUGCCGCGACCAAAGCAGCUAAUAGGUCGUUGGUCGUCUUUUGAACUUCGUCUUGACGAGCAAGUCGAGCCAUGAUAGAGCUCAUAAAAUCUGCGGCGAUGGGUGGCGCGGCUUCGGGCAUUGGGGUCAGUUCUCCACCCGGAACACUGAAGGUGGCGUCGUCUUGAACCAUGUAGAUCUAGAACGUUACUUUAGUCAGCCCCACGGUGGGCGCCAAUUGUUUGAACGGGAUUCAGUCGACUAAGAUGAAAGAAGUCAUAGAUGGGAUGACUAAAGACGUUUUAUUUGAUUUGAACUGAAGGGUUACAAGAGUGACAGGAAAGUGAAAGAGCAACAAGAUCAAAGAGUAACAAGAUCAAAGAGAUCGCCUAAAACCCUAGAUCUAGCUGCUCGGUCUGUUCAAUCGUCCAAAAGUCCUUUCCUUCUUGCUUGCCCUUCCCCUUUUAUAGGACUCUUGCCCUUGAUACCCUAAUUUCGUACCUCUUUGGGCCUUGAUGCGAGAGGCCGAGUAUGCGGGUCUGGACAAGGUUCUCUCCAAGCCGGGUACGUUUGGUCGGCUUACUCGACCGGCUAAAAGUACUCUAAGGUCGAGCCGAUACGUUUGGCCGCCGAGCCGACCAAACUGAUCCAACUUGCGGGAUUAGGGCCUGUUAUUCGAUGGGCCUUGUGGAGGGGUGUAAUCCAUCUCCUACAAGUCUCCUCCGUGAAAGCUUGACAACGAGCUCCAAUGGUGAAUUUCAGAAUAUUUGCACAUCUGACCCUUCACCUUUCGGCUAUUUACACUUUGAACCCCACAACUAUUGAAUGUGCACAAAAGUCCACUCGAAUUAUCCCAAAACUUCCGAUUGGGAACUCCAUACCCUAAUGCACAUAAAUGAACAAAUAUAUGCAAUGUAAACACCUAAAUGCAAUCUAAAAUGAUUAAAAAAGCUAUAUGAGAUGCUAAAUGUUAUUAAAAUCAUGUUAUAUCAUUUCUUCCCACCAGUCUGGAAAGCCUACGAGCUGCCAACAGUUGGCUUUCUCAUGACCACGUUGGCCACAAUGAGAGAGUCACUCGCGUCGGACUGAGCAGAACUGUUUGUCUCAGACGAUUCCUUCUUGGCCACAAAACCAAUAGCAUUAUGAUGUGCUUCGCGUUCUUUAGUCGAAGCUAGUUGUUAUUCUUCUCUAACUACUCGUGCAUAUGCUUCGCCAAGAUCAACGGAUGUGUCUGUAGCUAUAAUACCUUGACUGACGAUUCCAAACUGAGCUUCAUCUAAGCCCAUAACAAACUGAUGUACCUUCUCUUCUUCUUUCUCUUUUUCAUAAAUCGCAGCCGCACUGCAAUUGCAAGGCAGAAGAGGUUUGCAGGUAUUGAGUUCUUCUCACAUCUUGGCUAGACGUCCGAAGUAAUCCAUCACUGUUUUUACGUCUUGCUUGCAAGACGCGAGUUGCUCCUUAAGAUGAUGAAUUCAAACUUUGUUUCCCACUGAAAAACGUUUCUUCAAAAUUUCCCACAACUUGUGAGAAUUAGAUAUGAAGGUGACUGUAGAACGAACACGAGCUUCUAUGGAAGAACGGAUCCAGCCAACGAUCAUAGAGUUGACGGACGACCACAGCUCGAACUGAGGAUCAUCACUGGCGGAUUUAGGUAUUGAACCAUCAAUAACCCUAACUUCCUCUUAGCCCUAAGAGCAUUAACCAGCUCCGUAGACCAUUCAUUGUAAUUCUCACGCGUAAACAUCACCGAUGUUAUCAAAGCUCUUGGAUUGUCGGACGCAAACAAGGAGUAAGGGGUGGACGUAUUUACGACACUUUUCUCAACCUGAGACUUGCUCGUCUCUGUAUCCUUACUUGCGGAAGACGCAUCUGUGUCAACCAUGACUAGAAACUGUUGUUCUUACCAAGAACAAGAUUGAUCGAUGAUGUGUUGUGAUUUUGCAUAGUUUUAGCUUUGUUAUUUCAUAUAUAUUCAUGCAUUAACCUUACGUUUAUUUGCAUUUAGAGUCUAUUGCAUGUACAUUUGCAUCUUGUAGGUGUUGGGUGAAUUGUUUGGAGUUUUGGAGGUGAUUAGAGCACAAAAGGAGCUUUCGAGGAGUCUUGAACCGAACGUGUGAAAGAAAAGCAUUGAUGAAGGUCUUAAAGAUAUCUUUUGAAACUUGUCUUUUGGGAAGACAUGGUAAAUUGAGUUAGCUUUACAAUGGAGGUGGUUUCAAGUCGUUUGGAGCUGUAUUGAGGGAUUUAUGAUCAAAAUACUACACACAUAUCAGUGUGUGCAACAUGGAGAAAGUGGAGAAAACUUUAAUGAGUGAGUUUUAUCUCUUUAAAGCUUGCAACAUGGGGGAUGGGUUGUCUAUCAUGAGUUUGGUGGCUCUUUUGGCCUAACUUUCUCUACCUUUUCUGAAGAGGCAAGACUACUUUGGCCAUAUGAAGGGGCAAAAGGUGUUCUAUAAUGGAAGAAAGUGGAGAAUAACUUUUAUGAGUGUGUUUUAUGCUUUAUGCUUUCACAUGAUGGAUGUGUUGUCAUCCUCCUUUACUUAGGCUAUAAAAGAGACUGCAAGGGGAAGGAGGAAGACACACAAUACACAGAGUACAAUACAACAAAGAGUAGAGAGUGAAAGUUUUAUAGUUUCAUAUUUUGUAUUUUGAGAGUUUGAGAGAAAACAUUUGUUCUUGAGCUGUUCUUCAUUGUUCAUCAUCUAUUCUUGAGUUUUAAUUUC